AACAACACCCCUCCUCAACACACACACUUUCCCCUCCCGUUCCCGUGACCCUGCCAGCAAAGCUACCCCUUGCCCAAAUGUAAUUAACUGCAGACACGCUGGAGAUUCAGACUUCUGUAUCGGUAGUCCGAUGACAUUGUAGAAGAAGCCGGCCCUUUUCAAACGUACAUAAAUCAUUGUAGGAGGAAUGUUUCUGGAAGAUCAAGAAAAGAAAACUGAAGUGGCACAACAUAAAUCAAAACUGGAACUUGCCGCCCGUAGUUUGAUCAGCCUUUACCACAUCAGAUACGCAAAACCGCGGUUUUGCAAAGUCUUGGACGAAUAUCAUUAUCAUUUAUAUUCCACACGUCCCGAGACUCCUGCUAUGGAUUUCCAAGAUCUACUGGAUACUUAAAAAAAGAUUCCAGCAUUAUUGCUCUUUGUAUAUACAUACAAACUCUAUUUUAAAACAAUGCUAUUUCGUGUUUUCCUGCCGUUUACGAUACACAUUGAUACAUCUAAUAAUAAACCAGAAGAACUGGCGAUAGUUAGGGUUUCAGUGAUAACUUUCAAUCAAGUAAUUGGAGGAGACUUUAAGUGGGACUUGAGUUAUUGUUGGAAUGUAACGUCAUUGUUUCUUGUUUUUUCAUUGGAUAGAUGCUUCGUUUUUCAAUUAGUUUUAGUGAAUGCCAUCUGGUAUUUUAGUUAGAGACAAACAUCUAUGAAUAAUAGAGUUUCACAUUCUAAUGUAAAUAAAUACUUCUAAAAUAUUUUCUACAAUUACGACCGCAGGUUUUGAAGUUGACUCUUUUUUUCAAUCUAUAAACCCAUGAGAUUAUAAAACAUAGGAGCAGAAUUCAAUCUAUUUAUUAUUUGUACAUUAGCCGAACUUCUCAAUUCAAUAUUUAAGAUGAACCAGUAGGAUAUUUAGAAAUGUCCCAAGUAUUCAAAAGAACAAAAGAUGAAAGCCAAAUUAACUUUUUUUACUCUCCCUGAAUUUCUGUAGAAUGCUUGUUUUUGUAGAAUAUUUUUGUUCCCUAAGCAUUCAAUUUAUUUCAAAUCCCAUUUUAAUCAACAUAAACUAUCAGCGAGAUGUUUCUCGUCCGUGAACAAAUCUUGCGUUCCCACCUUUUUCCUGAAAUCUGAUUUCGCAUUGCUUGAUUCCAAAUUGCAAGUGUCCCCAGUGGCUAAAAGUAUUUUAUUUCGGAUUGGGAUAAGAAAUAAAACAGUUAUUGGAAUAAAUGAUGCAAUCUGGAAUUUUGAGUGAAACUGUGCUUUCAUUACAAAGCAGGAAUCCGGAAA